UAGCCCGGAGAAAUUCGGAUUAAUGCUCCAUGGUUUAUAUGAAUGGCAUCGUUUAUAUAAUAAAGAUUUAUCGGUAAAAGAUGGGCAUGCGUAUCAUUAGCUAGUUGGUGUGGUAACGGCAUACCAAGGCUACGAUGAUUAGGGGUCCUGAGAGGGAGAUCCCCCACACUGGUACUGAGACACGGACCAGACUCCUACGGGAGGCAGCAGUGAGGAAUAUUGGUCAAUGGAGGCAACUCUGAACCAGCCAUGCCGCGUGCAGGAUGACGGUCCUAUGGAUUGUAAACUGCUUUUGUACGGGAAGAAAUGUAAUUACGUGUAAUUAUUUGACGGUACCGUAAGAAUAAGGAUCGGCUAACUCCGUGCCAGCAGCCGCGGUAAUACGGAGGAUCCGAGCGUUAUCCGGAAUUAUUGGGUUUAAAGGGUUCGUAGGCGGUUGAGUAAGUCAGUGGUGAAAUCUUAUAGCUUAACUAUAAAAUUGCCGUUGAUACUGCUUGACUUGAAUAGUAUGGAAGUAAUUAGAAUAUGUAGUGUAGCGGUGAAAUGCUUAGAUAUUACAUGGAAUACCAAUUGCGAAGGCAGAUUACUACGUACUUAUUGACGCUGAUGAACGAAAGCGUGGGUAGCGAACAGGAUUAGAUACCCUGGUAGUCCACGCCGUAAACGAUGGAUACUAGCUGUUCGGUUUUCGGACUGAGUGGCUAAGCGAAAGUGAUAAGUAUCCCACCUGGGGAGUACGUUCGCAAGAAUGAAACUCAAAGGAAUUGACGGGGGCCCGCACAAGCGGUGGAGCAUGUGGUUUAAUUCGAUGAUACGCGAGGAACCUUACCAAGGCUUAAAUGUAGAUUGACAGGUUUAGAGAUAGACUUUUCUUCGGACAAUUUACAAGGUGCUGCAUGGUUGUCGUCAGCUCGUGCCGUGAGGUGUCAGGUUAAGUCCUAUAACGAGCGCAACCCCUAUUGUUAGUUGCCAGCGGGUCAAGCCGGGAACUCUAACAAGACUGCCGGUGCAAACCGUGAGGAAGGUGGGGAUGACGUCAAAUCAUCACGGCCCUUACGUCUUGGGCUACACACGUGCUACAAUGGCCAGUACAGAAAGCAGCUACCAGGCAACUGGAUGCGAAUCUCAAAAACUGGUCUCAGUUCGGAUUGGAGUCUGCAACUCGACUCCAUGAAGCUGGAAUCGCUAGUAAUCGGAUAUCAGCCAUGAUCCGGUGAAUACGUUCCCGGGCCUUGUACACACCGCCCGUCAAGCCAUGGAAGCUGGGGGUACCUGAAGUCGGUCGCCGCAAGGAGCUU
rnacentral:rRNA from 1 species